rnacentral:lncRNA from 1 species
GACUACAGCUAUCAGGUGGGCAGAAACAAAGAAUAGCCAUAGCAAGAGCCAUGUUAAAGAACCCUGCGAUACUUCUACUAGAUGAGGCGACGAGUGCGUUAGAUUCUGAGUCAGAGAAGCUUGUGCAAGAAGCUUUGGAUCGUUUCAUGAUCGGGAGAACGACUCUCAUCAUUGCUCAUCGUCUUUCCACCAUACGCAAAGCCAGUGCAAGAAGCUUUGGAUCGUUUCAUGAUCGGAAGGACGACUCUCAUCAUUGCUCAUCGUCUUUCCACCAUACGCAAAGCCGACCUUGUUGCUGUCCUUCAGCAAGGAAGUGUCUCUGAGAUUGGAACGCACGACGAGCUUU